rnacentral:rRNA from 1 species
AACAAGCAACAAGCUGCCACAUUGGUCAAGCUCGACCGGAUCCUGUACAAUGAGGCAUGGCAUGACUCUUUUCCGGCCUGCCUACUGCAAGGCAUCACCACAACGAUGAGCGACCACUGCCCUCUGUUAUUGAGUUGUGAUGUAGAGUUCAAGCCCUGCAGAAGAUUCCGUUUUGAAAAUCACUGGUGCAAAAUGGAGGGGUUUGAGGAGGUUGUGGGGGCUGCCUGGGCCUCUCCAGUGAACUCACGCGACCCCUUUCUUAUCCUGCAACAACGGCUGCAGAACACUGGCAAAGCGCUAAAAAGAUGGCACUCUCAGCAUUGCUCUCACCUGCCGAAGACACUUGAUAUUGUCAAUGAAUUAAUAUUCAGACUUGAUGCCGCAAGGGAUGUCAGACAGUUAACGCCACAGGAACACCGUUUCCGAAACUUCCUGAAGGUCCGGUGCCUUGGGAUUGCAGCGUUGGAAAGAGCAAUGUGGCGGCAACGAUCUAGGGUGACUUGA